GAACCGGCAUCGGACCCUGGGAAACAGGUACCUAGCGUAUUAAUAGGUCGCUAGAAAUCGGGCGGGCUUCACCUUCGGGUAACCCGCCGUCGAGAGGGAAAACCUCUGUGUGGUUGUGCGCACGUCGUUGUCGGAAGA
rfam:Red clover necrotic mosaic virus RNA-1, complete sequence.